rnacentral:rRNA from 1 species
CUGCUGCCUCCCGUAGGAGUUUGGGCCGUGUCUCAGUCCCAAUGUGGCCGUUCACCCUCUCAGGCCGGCUACUGAUCGUUGCCUUGGUAGGCCAUUACCCCACCAACUAGCUAAUCAAACGCGGAACCAUCGUAUACCACCAGAGUUUUCACACCGCUUCAUGCGAAGCUGUGCGCUUAUGCGGUAUUAGCACCUAUUUCUAAGUGUUAUCCCCCAGUAUACGGCAGGUUUUCCACGCGUUACUCACCCGUCCGCCACUAA